rnacentral:rRNA from 1 species
UACGUAGGGUGCGAGCGUUGUCCGGAAUUAUUGGGCGUAAAGGGCUCGUAGGCGGUUUGUCGCGUCGGGAGUGAAAACCCAGGGCUUAACCCUGGGCUGGCUUCCGAUACGGGCAGACUAGAGGUAUGCAGGGGAGAACGGAAUUCCUGGUGUAGCGGUGAAAUGCGCAGAUAUCAAGAGGAACACCUGAGGUGAAGACGGGUUGCUGGGCUGACACUGACGCUGAGGCGCGAAAGCUAGGGUAGCAAACGGG